CAGGAUGAACGCUAGCGGCAGGCUUAACACAUGCAAGUCGAGGGGCAGCGGGAUGUAGCAAUACAUUGCCGGCGACCGGCGGAUGGGUGCGUAACGCGUAUGCAACCUACCUUAUACAGGGGAAUAACCUUUCGAAAGGGAGACUAACACCCCAUAGUAUUGAUUUAAGGCAUCUUAGAUUAAUUAAAUAUCUAUAGGUAUAAGAUGGGCAUGCGUAUGAUUAGCUAGUUGGUAAGGUAACGGCUUACCAAGGCGACGAUCAUUAGGGGUUCUGAGAGGAAGGUCCCCCACACUGGUACUGAGACACGGACCAGACUCCUACGGGAGGCAGCAGUGAGGAAUAUUGGUCAAUGGGCGCAAGCCUGAACCAGCCAUGCCGCGUGCAGGAAGACGGCCUUAUGGGUUGUAAACUGCUUUUACAUAAGACUAACCGUAUAUUUGCGAAUAUACCUGAAUGUAUUAUGAGAAUAAGGAUCGGCUAACUCCGUGCCAGCCGCCGC
rnacentral:rRNA from 1 species